UCCACUUUAUGUCUGAGUAGUAUUCCAUGGUGUAUAUAUACCACAUUUUGUUUAUCCACUCAUUGGUGGAUGGGCACUUAGAUUGAUUGCAUAUCUUUGCAAUCGCCAGUUGGAAACACCCCAUUUUAAAUGUGGGUGUCUGAAUGAAGAGACCACAGGUUUUGGGUGCUGCUAUGUCCAUAAUCCCAGUAAUAAAGUGGAUUUUCACUAUCAUCCAAAAGAGAGAAUGCACGCACACUACAUCUUUGUGCCCAUGAGAUAUUUGUCAUGUCACACCAGCAAACACAGGAACUGAAUUUUUAACUUAAAAGACCAACCAUUUAAUUUUCAAACUACAGUACAUAAAACAGGAGCAGCUCUGAAGUGGUUUUAUAUUUUAAGAGCAUGAUUUUUAGUUUUGCAAUUGCCUCUCACACUCUGAAUGUUCAAUUAUUGAUUGAACAGAUUGUUAUGAUCCCAAUAAAAUAAAGUUUUAAGCUGAGAAUCUUGCCUUGCCACACAGCUGCGUUCCACUUCAACAAUGCUUUGGCUGCGAUGGAAACCUGUCUCCUUUAAAGGAGCCGUGGUGGGGACCCCCCCAGAGACAUGCCUUGUCUUUGAAGAUGCUCCCAAUGGGGUGGAGGCAGCCCUGGCAGCUGGGAUGCAGGUGGUCAUGGUUCCAGAUGGAAACUUGAGCCGAGACCUGACGACAAAGGCCACCGUGGUGCUGAAUUCCCUGCAAGACUUCCAGCCCGAGCUGUUUGGUUUGCCUCUCUAUGACUGAAAGAGAGGGCCUCACUUUGCCACCCCCCAGCCCACUCUCAUGGUCCACACUGCUGGGGAAAAGAAAAGGAAAUCAGCAACUCUCAAACCCCAACGUGCACAGUGAUUUUAGCCUCCUGAGAUUGGUGUUUCCAUCCUGCGUUGGCUUGCCCUACUCUAGCGUAUUGAUAAAACGUGACUUGACAGUUGAGAGAAACACGGUAGAGACAGAAACGAAGCCCAGAACAAAGAUGAAACUUGAAUUACCAUCUCAAAAAUCAGGCUGACGGACUAUGCGAUAAAGUGAAUGUACAUGUAUACAUCUACACAUGCACCUCUAUAUAUGCAGAUGUAUAUCAGUAAGUUAAUAUGCAUGUAGGAAAUUACAUGUGUAUGUAUGUAGAUAUAUGUGAAAUACAUACUUUUCAAAGACAAAAAUGGAACAUCAUUUCUCUUUUAUUCUAGUUUUUCUGAACACUGGGAAAUGUAAACUGUGUAUGCAUAUAAGUAUAUGCUUUAUAUAUUCAUAUGUAUGUACAUAUAUCUGUCAUCUGCAUCACUCUCCUCAGUGUUGAUGUCAGCAUACAGUGACAACUGAUAAAGAGAGAUGGUAGUUCUGCCUGGCUUCCAGUCUGAGUGGGAAAGCCCUGCUUUUAUGAGCACUAAGAAGUGCUUCUCCUUGUUAGCUAACAUUUAAAUUCUUUUUGUGACCUCAGAAUGUCUCUGGAUCUUUCCUCAUUGACUGACUCUGAGCCACAUCAUCCAUAGUUUAUUGUUAGUAUGAACACAACUGUAGCAUUUACCUGGUAUCUACAUCCUUAUCUACAUUGGAGAAUGCUUUCUACCUCAGAGCAAACAUUUGCCUCCUUAAAGAACACUGAUGGCCUACACUUUUUGGAUAGAAAUAGAAGUUGAUUUCAGAAAGUAUGCUUGGUGAGUCUGAGUGCCCUGGGAACACUUUUGGAAUAAUUUAUCAGACAUUGAACUUCUGUGAUUAAUUGCUUUUAUCGAUUUACACAGUCUUUAAAAUUUGUCUGUGAUUUGCCAGAGAAAAAUGGUGGUAGCCAUGGAAAUCGGGAGUGAAGGAGUGCUGCUCCAUUGUGGUUCAGCCCUUCCCAGUGGCCUCUGCCCUUUGAUGUCCUUGAGAAGAUCUUCAAACCUGGAAGUUGCAGACAGACCAUAGGAAGGCAUGUAUGUGUGUGGUGGAGUGAUUGUCUGUAGAUGACAGGCCCUGGCUAUUGCAUCAAUUUAGCAAAUUUAUUUCUUCAUUCCCAAUGGCCUAUAUACAUGUGCACUUUCAAUGCUCCUCUUAACCAGUUGUAUUGUCUGUUUCCCUAACAAAUUGAAUUAGUUUAAUAAAAUCUUUUAACACA